UACGAAGGGGGCUAGCGUUGCUCGGAAUCACUGGGCGUAAAGGGUGCGUAGGCGGGUCUUUUAAGUCAGGGGUGAAAUCCUGGAGCUCAACUCCAGAACUGCCUUUGAUACUGACGAUCUGGAGAUUGGGAGAGGUGAGUGGAAUUCCGAGUGUAGAGGUGAAAUUCGUAGAUAUUCGGAGGAACACCAGAAGCGAAGGCGGCUCACUGGCCCAAUACUGACGCUGAGGCGCGAAAGCGUGGGGAGCAAACAGG
rnacentral:rRNA from 1 species